rnacentral:snRNA from 1 species
AUACUUACCUGGCAGGGGAGAUACCAUGAUCACGAAGGUGGUUUUCCCAGGGCGAGGCUUAUACAUUGCACUCUGGAUGUUGUGACCCCUGCGAUUUCCCCAAAUGUGCAAAACUUGCCUGCAUAAUUAGUGGUAGAGGGGGACUGUGUUUGCACUCUCCCUUA